UACGUAGGGUGCAAGCGUUUGUCCGGAAUUAUUGGGCGUAAAGAGCUUGUAGGCGGUUUGUCGCGUCUGCUGUGAAAUUUCGGGGCUCAACCCCGAACUUGCAGUGGGUACGGGCAGACUAGAGUGUGGUAGGGGAGACUGGAAUUCCUGGUGUAGCGGUGAAAUGCGCAGAUAUCAGGAGGAACACCGAUGGCGAAGGCAGGUCUCUGGGCCACUACUGACGUGAGACGCGAAAGCGUGGGUAGCAAACAGG
rnacentral:rRNA from 1 species